CCUACGGGAGUCAGCAGUGGGGAAUAUUGCGCAAUGGGGGCAACCCUGACGCAGCAACGCCGCGUGAUUGAAGAAGGCAUUCGGGUUGUAAAGAUCUUUAAUCGGGGACGAAUUUUGACGGUACCCGAAGCAUAAGCUCCGGCUAACUACUUGCCAGCAGCCGCGGUAAUACGGAGGGAGCAAGCGUUAUCCGGAUUUACGGGGUGUAACGGGAGUGUGGGCGGGCAGGCAAGCAAGAAGUGAACUCUGGGGGCUUAACCCCAAAACUGCUUUUGGAACUGGGUGUCUUGAGUGAUGGAGAGGCAGGCGGAAUUCCCAGUGUAGCGGUGAAAUGCGUAGAUAUUGGGAGGAACACCAGUGGCGAAGGCGGCCUGCUGGACAUUAACUGACGCUGAGGCGCGAAAGCGUGGGGAGCAAACAGGAUUAGAUACCCCUGUAGUC
rnacentral:rRNA from 1 species